rnacentral:lncRNA from 1 species
UGCCGAUUCGUGAAACGAUUCGCAAAGAUGCGUGUAAUAACGUGCGAUAGGUUCUAUUGGCCGAAAAGCAACCGUACUUCGGAUUGUCGCACGUUCGUAUCCCACUCUCGCUCGAACAGAUCGGACGAUCUUGCUCGAAGCGCAUGGUAUCCGUAGGAUCGAGAGGGGACGAUGGAGGGGCGAAAAGGACACGAAGGCGAACGAAGCGCGUCGAACGCGCGACUCGGCUCUUUAGUUGAGUACCAGCCACCGUUGGUGUCGUGUCAGGGUGGUCGAUGUGCUCAUUCGUCACGUGUGAGAGAGAGAGAGAGAGAGAAAACGAGUAGCUCAUUAACGAUGGAUUUUUUCUCGUAUAGUGUAUAACCGGUCUGUAGCGGUCGUUCGUUUGUUCGGUCGGUUGUUUCGUCUGUCUGCUGUCUCUGCUGUAUGUCUAUUUAUCUCUCUGUUGGUCGGUAAAAGACGCAAGCGCACGCGCAACGCGUGUCGCGAACAAAAGACAGCGAUACCGACGCGUUUUAAAAGCGUCUCCUCUACUCUCGGUUUUCCUCUCCACCUCUCUCUUUCUUUCACAUGAUUCCAACUUCUCUCUUCCUCCCACGAUACUAAUUCUCCUCUUUCUUUCUUGUCUAUUCCCGUCUCUAUUCAUCUUUGUCAUACACUCGACCUCCGUCCUCCGCUGUGAGGCGCGCGCGUGAAAAUAUAUCCUGGCCGUCUGGCGGUAGCGCCGAAGCAUUCAGUCAAUUAGCCGUAAUGGCACGACCUGCCGCGUCGGUCUCGGCCAAUUAAGUGGUGAUUAGUGCGCGGAACUCUACCAUCGCCUGUAUCUCUCUCACACUCUUUCUACGCGCUCGUGUGUGUGUACUCGACGAUAGAUCGCUUGCGCGCGAGCGCGAUGUUUCUCGUGCGAAGGUGUUUUUCCUCCUACCACAAGAGUUUAGUGUGAAUAGCAACUAUUUGUUCCGUAACACGUCUAUUUUUUCAUAUUUUUUUGCUAUCUACAAUUUGCUAUAAUAGCGUGUGAACGUAACUCGAAUUAAGUUUUUUUCACAUAUUCUUCUGAAAUUUGCGCACAGUACCGUACUCCGUUCGGAAGCUGUAAAUCACGCGUCGACAUCGGAUGAGAGCGGUGGGAGUAUGCGCGAUGAAUGAUGAUACCAGUCGAGUAGUGUUACCGCGCGUUGCGAGCCGUUUGGAAAGUGGAACCGCGCCGAUUCAUCGCAGAGCAAUGACAUUUCUCGUCGCUCCGUGUUCGCUUCGUUGUUAAUAUCCCCUGUUCUCGACUCGCGGCUGCGCUUCAACGCGUUAUGAAAUAACGCGAGCGAGCAUUACCGACGCGUGUUCGAUCGACCAGUGAUUUAUUUUUAACUUAACACGGAAAGAAAAGGUGGUGUGUUAUAAUUAAGAGGAUAAGUGAAUGCGUGCGUUGAUCGAUAAUCGAUGGAUCGACGUGUGGUGGAUGUAGAAAAAUGCAGUUCGAUCGAUUAGAGGAGGUCAGAAAGAAAAAGCGGCCUCCUGCCAUAGUUUCUUGCUAGUUUUGCAGCAUCGCGUGCAUUUCCCUCGAGUCUACGCCGAGAGCGGAGCUCUCGUACGGCAUUAUCCAGAAUGGACUUCCGGGCGCCGCAUCCACUCGUGCAUCCUUCACACGCGGGACAUCCUUACUAUUAUCCAGGUAAGCUCUAACGAAGGAUGGCCGAGGAGGUGCUGGGUAAAAAAAAAAAAAAAAAAAAAGAAAAAAAAAAAAGUAUUGUUCACUGCUUGAAAGAAGUGCCGCGUCUGAUUGGUCAGGGGAACGCCUAUUUUCACGCGCAUUUUUGUUCCUAGCCAUUCGUGUUGGUUUGCCACUCUCGUAUAAUAUUAACAGGCACAUAUAUUAUAAUUGAAUAGUGGACAGACGCAGACAGAUCUCGCUUGACUUCAUAAUUGAAAAUAACUACGUCUUAUUACCGAUAGGUUUCACGAUUUUGAAUAUUCAAGAGAAAUCUCCUAUGAUAUUUUGUAGGCUAAACGCGUGGUCUUCGAGGAGUGGCGGGAA